UUAUCUACAAAGUUACUUUAAGUGAUAAACCUUGUAGCUACAUCUUGGAGGACGAAUCCCUGAUUAUAGAGAGUUUAUUAAAUUAAUUUACUUGAAAUAGCCAAAAAACUAUCAUUAAUUUGUUGAUUGAUUCUACAACAUUUAUGUAUACACACUUUAAUUCUACAACUUUGCUGCUGAUUAAGUUUAUGUUGAAUUUGUUAGUGUCGGACACAAAGGCUUUAUGAAUUGUAUUGAGUUUAUGUGUUUAGGCCUGGAUGGUGAUGAGAGUGUAUUCGUGCAUUAUCUGUGUAUUGAAAUAUUUUUUUUGUUCAGGAGUCAAACAUUAUUUAAAAAUGCCAUAAAUUACAUAAUAUAAAACAAAC
rnacentral:misc_RNA from 1 species